AGAGUUUGAUCCUGGCUCAGAGCGAUCGCUGGCGGCAGGCUUAACACAUGCAAGUCGAACGGGCACUUCGGUGUCAGUGGCAGACGGGUGAGUAACACGUGGGAACGUACCUUUUGGUUCGGAACAACUGAGGGAAACUUCAGCUAAUACCGGAUAAGCCCUUACGGGGAAAGAUUUAUCGCCGAAAGAUCGGCCCGCGUCUGAUUAGCUAGUUGGUAGGGUAAUGGCCUACCAAGGCGACGAUCUGUAGCUGGUCUGAGAGGAUGAUCAGCCACAUUGGGACUGAGACACGGCCCAAACUCCUACGGGAGGCAGCAGUGGGGAAUAUUGGACAAUGGGGGCAACCCUGAUCCAGCCAUGCCGCGUGAGUGAUGAAGGCCCUAGGGUUGUAAAGCUCUUUUGUGCGGGAAGAUAAUGACGGUACCGCAAGAAUAAGCCCCGGCUAACUUCGUGCCAGCAGCCGCGGUAAUACGAAGGGGGCUAGCGUUGCUCGGAAUCACUGGGCGUAAAGGGUGCGUAGGCGGGUUUUUAAGUCAGAGGUGAAAUCCUGGAGCUCAACUCCAGAACUGCCUUUGAUACUGGAAAUCUUGAGUAUGGGAGAGGUGAGUGGAACUGCGAGUGUAGAGGUGAAAUUCGUAGAUAUUCGCAAGAACACCAGUGGCGAAGGCGGCUCACUGGCCCAUAACUGACGCUGAGGCACGAAAGCGUGGGGAGCAAACAGGAUUAGAUACCCUGGUAGUCC
rnacentral:rRNA from 1 species